UAUUUAUGGUCGAUUUUUGUUAUAAUCAGUAGCUGAAAGGAAAAAAAACACAUGCAUCGCUUUAGCCAAUGGGCUGCUGCCUAGUGGCGCAUUGCCCCGCCCACCACUUCCUUCGCGGGGGGCGGGCUUUCCUCUGUCUUUCCGGCUGCGACUCCGAUGCUGAGCGAGCUGUUAAGGAAAAGGGAGACGGAGAUUCAUUGAAAAAAGAGCACAAAAAGCGAUAUAUAAGAGUCAGAGGUCGGAGGCGGCGCCAUUUUGUGUUGCGCUGUCCUCUCGUGAGAUCGGUCAGGUUUUUUUUUUCUUUUCCUUGGUUUGUUUUAUUUGUGAUGUGAUGGCGAGCCAAUCCCACAGACGAACCAGACAACUUCUUCCCGUGCUGCCCUGCACAGUGCGGUAG